GUGUGUGUGUUUUAGUGGUUUGAGGGUUAGACUAAAACUCUGGAGCCCAGGGUUCAAAUUCCAGGUUAUAGA